rnacentral:rRNA from 1 species
AGCAGCCGCGGUAAUUCCAGCUCCAAUAGCGUAUAUUAAAGUUGUUGCAGUUAAAAAGCUCGUAGUUGAAUUUCGGGAUCGAAUUGUUGGUCGUGCCUCGGUACGCACUGGCAUUAUCGGUUCCUACCUUCUGAAGAACCGCGAUGUCAUUAAUUUGGUGUCGUGGGGAAUCAGGACUGUUACUUUGAAAAAUUAGAGUGUUUAAAGCAGGCUUACGCUUGAAUACAUUAGCAUGGAAUAAUGAAAUAGGACGUUUGAUUCUAUUUUGUUGGUUUCUAGGAUCGACGUAAUGAUUAAUAGGGAUAGUUGGGGGCAUUAGUAUUCAAUUGUCAGAGGUGAAAUUCUUGGAUUUAUUGAAGACUAACUACUGCGAAAGCAUUUGCCAAGGAUGUUUUCAUUAAUCAAGAACGAAAGUUAGGGGAUCGAAGACGAUCAGAUACCGUCGUAGUCUUAACCAUAAACGAUGCCGACUAGGGAUCGGCGGAUGUUGCUUUUAGGACUCCGCCGGCACCUUA